rnacentral:rRNA from 1 species
GAUGAACGCUGGCGGCGUGCCUAAUACAUGCAAGUCGAGCGAACGUACGAGAAGCUUGCUUCUCAGAUGUUAGCGGCGGACGGGUGAGUAACACGUGGAUAACCUACCUAUAAGACUGGGAUAACUUCGGGAAACCGGGGCUUAUCCCGGAUAAUAUUUUGAACCGAAUGGUUAAAAAGUGAAAGAAGGUCUUGAUGUCACUUAUAGAGGGAGCCGAGCUGGAUUAGCUAGUUGGUAAGGUCACAGCUUACCAAGGCUACGAUGCCUAGCCGACCCGAGAGGGUGGUCGGGCACCCUGGAUGAGAGGCACGGUCCAGACUCCUACGGGAGGCCGCAGUAGGGAAUCUUCCGCGAGGGGGGAAAGCCUGACGGAGCAACGCCGAGUGAGUGAUGAUGGUCUGCGGAUCGGAGAACUCUGUUAGUAGGGAAAAACAAAUGUGUAAGUAACUGUGAACAUCUUGACGGUACCUAAUCAGAAAGCCACGGCUAACUACGUG